UUGCUACUUCCCUUGUCAGAAAGGAUAAAAAUGAAGUCCAGCAUCACAUAUCUAACAUACUCUUUAUCGGGUUCACUUGUGGCUGCUUGAUGCUUUUGUUUACGAAGUUCUUUGGUUCAUGGGUACUGACUGCUUUUACUGGACCAAAGAAUGCACAUGUUGUACCUGCAGCAAACACAUAUGUUCAGAUUCGAGGCUUAGCAUCGCCAGCACUUCUCGUUGGAUGGGUUGCU